CUUUGGUUGAACCUACUGGAUGGAGAAGGAGCUUGGUAAAGGAGCUUCUGUGGAGCAGAACAGAGCGAGGAAAGGGCAGGGAAAAAUGGAAGUGUGGACGGGCAUGGCCUGCCUAGAGUGAGCAUCUUUGAAUAGAUUGUCUUCAAUGUCAAUCAUUGCCACUGUCCCUCGGGCUGAGGCAUGGGUGGACCAGGAGCUGGACUGGCCAGUGGACACUCGCAGCCAUUUGGGAGGGCAAGGGGAUGCAAUGUUUGUCCACACAGGUACCUCCUGUGACUGGCACAGCAGCCCUUGGUGAUAAUCUCCAUGGGCCAGAUAAACAUGACCCUGUGUACUUCCAUUUCACUGCUCUGAUUCUUUCUUUCAGAAGCCUCCUACCACCCUCUGAGAAGAUUUUCCAGGCAAAACCCAGAUCUGCUGUAGUGACUUCAGAAGAAAGAGGUUUGAAGGAGGAUGAGAAGCCGAUAGCCAACGGUAUGUGUGUGAAAACACAUGGCAGACGUGUGCUCUCCAGCGUUCUGUCUUAUGUUUAAGUCUUUAAUCCAUCUGGAGUUAAUUUUAGUGUAAGGUGUCAGGAAGGGGUCCAGUUUCUGCUUUCUGCACAUGGCUAGCCAGUUUUCCCAACAGCAUUUAUUAAACAGGGAAUCCUUUCACCAUUGCUUGUUUUUGUCAGGUUUGUCAAAGAUCGGAUGGUUGUAGAUGCAUGUGGCACAAUAAGGUGUGGCAUUGUUUCCAAGACCUCUGUUCUGGUCCAUUGGUCUAUAUCUCUGUUUUGGCACCAGUACCGUGCUGUUUUGGUUACUGUAGGCUUGUAGUAUAGUUUGAAAUCAGGUAGCAUGAUGCCUCCAGUUUUGUUAUUUUUGCUUAAAAUUGUCUUGGCUAUGCAGGCUCUCUUUUGGUUCCAUAUGAAGUUUAAGGUGGUUUUAUUCCAGUUCCGUGAAGACGGUCAUAGAUAGCUUAAUGGGGAUAGCAUUGAAUCUAUAAAUUACUUUGGGCAGUAUGGCUGUUUUCACAAUAUUGAUUCUUCCUCACUAUGAGCAUGGAAUGUUUUUUCAUCUGUUUGUGUCCUCUCUUAUUUCCUUGAGCAGUGGUUUGUAGUUCUCCUUGAAGAGGUCCUUUACAUCCUUUGUUAGUUGUAUUCCUAGGUGUUUUAUUCUCUUUGUAGCAAUUGUGACUGGCAAUUUGGUCUUGAUUUGGCUUUCUUUUGGUGUGUUAUUGGUGUAUAGGAAUGCUUGUGAUUUCUGCACAUUGAUUUUGUAUCCUGAGAUUUUGCUCAAGAUGCUUAUCAGUUUCAGGAGAUUUUGGGCUGAGAUGAUGGGGUCUUCUAAAUAUACAGUCAUGUCGUCUGCAAAUAGAGAGAGUUUGACUUCCUUCUUUCCUAUUUGAAUAGCCUUUAUUUCUUUUUCUUGCCUGAUUGCUCUGGCUAGAACUUCCAAUACUAUAUUGAAUAGGAGUGGUGAGAGAGGGGAUCCUUGUCUAGUGCCAGAUUUCAAAGGGAGUGCUUCCAGUUUUUUCCCAUUCAGUAUGAUAUUGCCUGUGGGUUUGUUGUAAAUAGCUUUUAUUAUUUUGAGAUACAUUCCGUUGAUACCUAGUUUCUUGAGAGUUUUUAGCAUAAAGGGCUGCUGAAUUUUGUUGAAGGGCUUCUCUGCAUCUAUUGAGAUAAUCAUCUGGUUUUUGUCUUUGGUUCUGUUUAUGUGGUGGAUUACAUUUAUAGACUUGCAUACAUUGAACCACCUUGCAUCCAUGGGAGUAGGCAUCUAUAUUGUUAACUAGUAGCAAUCUUACUGUGCUGGGAGAAACUUAGUUUCCACCCUCCUGGCCUAGGAUGUUAUGAGUGUCCCUCGAGGAAGAAUCCUCCCAGAUCCUGCCACUGACUCCAAACUUGGCCGAUAAUUUACUAUCUGCUUUUACUUUCUGAGUAGUGAGUAUUUUUUAAGCCCAUCAAUAUCAUCUUACAUUUGUCUACAAAUUUCUUUUAUAUAUGUGAUAUAUGUGAUUCAUUUGAUCCUUACAGUUACCUUGAGAUGUUGACAAACAGGAUAUCUAUCUGUGUCCGUUUUGAAGAGGAAGUAAUUGACCCUUAGAUUGGUAGAUUAAGAAGCCUGCGUGAGAUCAUCCAGGCAAGGAGUGCGCAGGAAGAACUCAUGCCUCUUACCUUCCAGUCCAGGUUCUUAAACUUACUCGCGUGUCCUGAUGGUGGUCCUGCACUCCUAUUCCACUUCCAAAAGGAGUUCCUUUCUGCCUUGCCUUUUUUUUUAAGUUGUACUUUAGGUUCUGGGGUACAUGUGCAGAUCAUACAGGAUUGUCGCAUAGGUACAUACAUGGCAAGGUGGUUUGCUGCCUCUAUCCCCCCAUCACCUAUAUCUGGCGUUUCUCCCUGUGUUAUUCUUCCCCAGUAUCCCCACCCCCUGCUGUCCCUCCCCUAGACGCCCCCUGCAACAGACCCCAGGGUGUGAUGCUCCCCUCCCUAUGUCCAUGUGUUUUCAUUGUUCAACACCUGCCUGUAAGUGAGAACAUGUGGUGUUUGAUUUUCUGUUCUUGUGUUAGUUUGCUGAGAAUGAUGGUUUCCAGAUUCAUCCGUGUCCCUAGAAAGGACAUGAACUCAUCGUUUUUGAUGGCUGUAUAGUAUCCCAUGGUGUAUAUGUGCCACAUUUUCUUUGUCCAGUCUAUCAUUGAUGGGCAUUUGAGUUGGUUCCAGGUCUUUGCUAUUGUAAACAGUGCUGCAGUGAACAUACCUGUGCAUGUGUCUUUGUAAUAAAACGAUUUGUAAUCCUCUGCCUUGCCUUUCAUGAUUGCUCCUAUUUCCACUAUUCCCUCCCCAAAGCCUUGGCCUCACUGCUCUGAGUCUGCAGGGAUGGGCCUCAAAAUGCUUGGGGCACACCCCAUAGCUGGGCUGGAAGAUAUUGAGGUCUGCUGCUGGCUUCUGCUGCCCUCUGGAUGUUUACUGCGGCAGCAGUGGGGAGAGUUUGUCAUUCCCAGAGAUGGCAUUGUCAGGUUGACACUCAAAUUGUUUCAUGCUGCUGCCUUGACUUCUUAGAGAAUAAUGAAACACCCUCAUCUUCCUCCUCCCUUGUCUAGAGGAGGAUUAAAGGCAGCCUCCCUUAUUCUCCUGCUUUAGCAGGGGUUGCUGUGCUCUGAAGAAGGUUCAGUGUUCUUUGCCUCCCAGGGAACCUUCUCUCAGGCUCCAGCUCAGGCAGCCUAGAAGGGGCACACAGCCCUCUAGCGCAGCAGAGACCAGCCGCGCACUGGGCAAACAUGAAACCCUUGGCCUAGGGCACAGAGCAGAGUUUCAAUCAGUGUUAAUCUCCCACCUCUCUUCCUUCCUUUGUUUUUUUCUCUGUUGUUCUCAAAAGUAUUCACUGCUGUCUACUUACUUCUCCCAACUGCCACUGGACUAGUUACCUGGCCAUUUUUCCUGGGGAUUCAUUCAUUCAUCCCUCCAUUCAUUCAACAAGGUUUUAUUGAAUGCUCACUCUGUGUCUGACAAGGCUCCAGGUGCUGAGAAUACAGCAGUGAACCAGACACAGGUGGGAGGAGAUAAACAACAAGCAAGUCACUAGACGUGUGAAUAAGAUGCUUCCCACAGCGACAAGUUCCUUGAAGGAAACAGAACAAGUGUGUGUGGAAGAGGGAGAUUUGGGGGUGUCUUCGAAAUGAAGUGGUCAAGGAGGUGUCUGAGGAGGUGAUAUUUGACUUGAGACUUGAAUGAAAAGGAGGGGCCAAUUAUGUUAAGACCUGGCAGAAGAGCAUUCUAGGCCAAGGGAAGGGCAGGUGCAAAGGCCAGGAGGUUGAUGCAGCUGUGGCAUGUUCCAGGGGCUGGUGAGGCACGAGUGCUUUGGGCAAGGGGGUGAGGGGAAGAAGAGGAGGUCAGAGGAGGAAGCACAGCCUUAUAAAGCUUUUGAAUUUUCAGUAUGAUAAGAUUUUCGGAGAGUUUUAAGCAGAAGAGUGACAGGGUCUGAUCUAUGUUUAAAACUAUUUUGGCACCAAGAGACAUAUCAAACUGCUUGUAGCAACAUUAUUCAUAAUAGUAAAAAAAAACUCUGGAAGUUACUCAAAUGCCCAUCCGCAGUGGAAUGGGUAAUAGAUGUCAUAUGACAAUAAGAAUGAACGAACUAUGGCUACACGGAUGAAUUUCCUAAAUACCAUGUUGAGGGAAAGGAGCCCAAUGCAACAGAAUCCUUGCCGUCUGAUUCCAUUUCGGGAGACUUCAAGUUCCAGCCAAAACCCAGGCUGGAGCUUUCAGGGAUACAUGUUUGGGUGAUAAAAUAGAAGAAUAAAGAAGUGCUUACCUCGACGGCAUGGAUAGUGGUUGUGUUUGGCAGAGGAAGAGGACUGCUGAUAGAAAACACGAAGAGGGCUUUGGGGAAGACCUUGUCGUGUUCUGUUUCUUGACCUUGUGGCCAUCCACGUGUGCUCCCUUUAAGUGACGGAGCUGUAUGGUUUUGUUUCGUACACUUUCUGCAUAUAUGUUCAUAACAAAAAGGUAUAAAAACCUCACUUUGGCUGCUGUGUGACAAAUGGGUGGCAGGGCAGCAAGAGCAGAGAGGGAACUGUGGCUUAGUGGGCUGCCAGAAUCCCAGGACAGGACUGAUUUAUUGGGAGGCAUUUUGGUGGUGACAUCCACAUGACUUGCCAACAGAUUGGCUGUGGUUAGUGGUGGUGAUGAGGGAGGCAGCAAUUAGGGUGCCUCCUGGAACUUGGGUUGAGCGACUGGGUAGAUUGGGGUCCAGAGUCCAUUCAUUGACCAAGAGAAGACGGGGGUGGAGGAGGCUGGAGGGAGAGAAGAGGGCUGCUUUUGUUCUGUCAAGUUUGAGAGGCUGAUAUGAGCUGGAUGAUGUCCCCUCCAAAUCUUAUGUUGCCAUGUGACCUCUGGUGCUGGAGGUGGGCAUAGUGGGAGGUGUUUGGGUCAUAAGGGUUGAUUCCUCAUGAGCAGCUUAGUGCUGUCCUCAUGAUAAUGAGCGAGGUCUCACUCUGUUAGUUCACACGAGAUCUGGUUGUUCAAAUAACUGUGGCACCUCUCCCCUCCUUGCUCUCUCUCUCACUGUGUGAUGUGCUGGCUCCCCCUUUCCCUUCUACCAUGCUUGUAAGUUUCCUGAAACCCUCAGCAGAAGUGGAUGCUGGCGCUAUACCUCAGGUGCAGACUGCAGGAGCGUGAGCCAAAUACACUUAUUUCCUUUUUAGAUUACUCUCAGCUGUUUCUUCAUAGCAAUGCAAAAAUGGACUAACCCAGAUGUGUAUUUCGCAUUUGAAUGGAGAAAUCAGCUCUCUGAUGGGCUAACUGUCCGCUAACCUGGCCCCUUUCAUUGGAUCCUUGGUCCCAUGGUUCCCGGCCUGUCUGAAGAGGAAACCUGGUGAUACUGUGUCCCCUCUCAGAAUUGCCCCAUCACCCAAAGGACAGAAGCCAAAUUCCUCAUUGUGGCCCCAAGCCUGCGCCUGAGUGCUCUGCCUCCCUGCUUUCU
rnacentral:lncRNA from 1 species